GAUGAACGCUGGCGGCGUGCCUAAUACAUGCAAGUCGAGCGAACAGACGAGGAGCUUGCUCCUCUGACGUUAGCGGCGGACGGGUGAGUAACACGUGGAUAACCUACCUAUAAGACUGGGAUAACUUCGGGAAACCGGAGCUAAUACCGGAUAAUAUAUUGAACCGCAUGGUUCAAUAGUGAAAGACGGUUUUGCUGUCACUUAUAGAUGGAUCCGCGCCGCAUUAGCUAGUUGGUAGGGUAACGGCUUACCAAGGCGACGAUGCGUAGCCGACCUGAGAGGGUGAUCGGCCACACUGGAACUGAGACACGGUCCAGACUCCUACGGGAGGCAGCAGUAGGGAAUCUUCCGCAAUGGGCGAAAGCCUGACGGAGCAACGCCGCGUGAGUGAUGAAGGUCUUCGGAUCGUAAAACUCUGUUAUUAGGGAAGAACAAAUGUGUAAGUAACUAUGCACGUCUUGACGGUACCUAAGCAGAAAGCCACGGCUAACUACGU
rnacentral:rRNA from 1 species